rnacentral:rRNA from 1 species
GCAGGGGAUCUUCGGACCUUGCGCUAAUAGAUGAGCCUAAGUCGGAUUACCUAGUUGGUGGGGUAAAGGCCUACCAAGGCGACGAUCUGUAGCGGGUCUGAGAGGAUGAUCCGCCACACUGGGACUGAGACACGGCCCAUACUCCUACGGGAGGCAGCAGUGGGGAAUAUUGGACAAUGGGCGCAAGCCUGAUCCAGCCAUGCCGCGUGUGUGAAGAAGGCCUUAUGGUUGUAAAGCACUUUAAGCGAGGAGGAGGCUACUUUAAAUAAUACCUAGAGAUAGUGGACGUUACUCGCAGAAUAAGCACCGGCUAACUCUGUGCCAGCAGCCGCGGUAAUACAGAGGGUGCAAGCGUUAAUCGGAUUUACUGGGCGUAAAGCGCGCGUAGGCGGCUAAUUAA